AGUAGGGACACUAUACAGGCAGCAGGUACUCUAUACAGACACACACUGUACAGUAGGGACACUAUACAGGCAGCAGGUACUCUAUACAGACACACACUGUACAGUAGGGACACUAUACAGACAGCAGGUACUCUAUACAGACACACUGUACAGCAGAGACACUAUACAGGCAGCAGGUACUUAUACAGACACACUGUACAGUAGGGACACUAUACAGGCAGCAGGUACUUAUACAGACACACUGUACAGCAGGGACAC